ensembl:lncRNA
GGAGCGGUCCCCUACCCCUGCUAGGCAAAUCCUCUAGUUAGCGUUCUGACAACGUUAAUUUCCUUUGUACCGGUCAUUUCUUCUUCUUGAAAAGCUGGGAUAAAGUUGACAGUCUUUAUAGAUGAAAGGAGGUUGCAUCCAAAAGUUUCUCACAAGCUUAAAAAAGAAAAAUUGACACCAUUAUGCAGAAGAAUUCACAAAAGCUGCAGAGCGCCAGGGCAGAGAAGCAGCGUCAGACACAGGCCCAGGACACACAGGACGGAUGUUUCCAAGUCACUCCAGGGACAGCAUGAGGCUCUCGCUGGCCUGUGUCUCAGAAGCUGCUUUCUCCACCUCUUCCUUGUGAAUUUCCUAAACUCUCUACCUCUGGUUCAUGUUCGCUCUUCUGGAUAGUCUGUGUGCAAUGAGCCCUUAAAGGAAUAUUGCAAUGAGCUAUAAGAGUUGUGAGCCUGCGGUAGGCAAGGCCUGCACUGGGACAGCAAAGGAAAUUUCAUUGCAUCUGCUCCUAGGUCACAGGUUAUCCAGAGCCCACUUUACCCCAAGAGACAGCCUCUCCCCCAUCCCUAGGAAACAGUAGAGCUUAGGAAAAUGAAUGACUCCAC